GACGAACCGUCCUAACGUUGUUCGGAAUCACUGGGCUUAAAGGGCGCGUAGGCGGCUUGCCAAGUCAGGGGUGAAAUCCUGCAGCUUAACUGUAGAAGGGCCUUUGAUACUGGCGAGCUCGAGGGAGGUAGGGGUAUGUGGAACUUCCGGUGGAGCGGUGAAAUGCGUUGAUAUCGGAAGGAACGCCGGUGGCGAAAGCGAUGUACUGGACCUCUUCUGACGCUGAGGCGCGAAAGCUAGGGGAGCAAACGGG
rnacentral:rRNA from 1 species